UACGUAGGGCGCAAGCGUUAUCCGGAAUUAUUGGGCGUAAAGAGCUCGUAGGCGGUUUGUCGCGUCUGCCGUGAAAGUCCGGGGCUCAACUCCGGAUCUGCGGUGGGUACGGGCAGACUAGAGUGAUGUAGGGGAGACUGGAAUUCCUGGUGUAGCGGUGAAAUGCGCAGAUAUCAGGAGGAACACCGAUGGCGAAGGCACUUUACUGGGCUAUUACUAACACUCAGAGACGAAAGCUAGGGUAGCAAAUGGG
rnacentral:rRNA from 1 species